rnacentral:rRNA from 1 species
ACCUACGGCCAUACCACCCUGAACACACCUGAUCUUGUCUGAUCUUGGAAACUAAGCAGGGCUAGGCCCGGUUAGUACCUGCCUGGGAAUACCGGGUGCUAUAAGCU